rnacentral:rRNA from 1 species
GCCAGACUCCUACGGGAGGCAGCAGUGAGGAAUAUUGGUCAAUGGCCGAGAGGCUGAACCAGCCAAGUCGCGUGAGGGAUGACGGCCCUACGGGUUGUAAACCUCUUUUGUCGGGGAGCAAAGAGAGUCACGUGUGGCUCAUUGAGAGUACCCGAAGAAAAAGCAUCGGCUAACUCCGUGCCAGCAGCCGCGGUAAUACGUAGGGGGCAAGCGUUAUCCGGAUUUACUGGGUGUAAAGGGAGCGCAGACGGCAGUGCAAGUCUGGAGUGAAAGCCCGGGGCCCAACCCCGGAACUGCUCUGGAAACUGUGCGGCUAGAGUACUGGAGGGGCAGGCGGAAUUCCUAGUGUAGCGGUGAAAUGCGUAGAUAUUAGGAGGAACACCAGUGGCGAAGGCGGCCUGCUGGACAGUAACUGACGUUGAGGCUCGAAAGCGUGGGGAGCAAACAGGAUUAGAUACCCCUGUA